rnacentral:lncRNA from 1 species
CGUGGUGUUGGGGAAGACUCACGAGGGUCCCUUGGACUGCAAGGAGAUCCAACAAGUCCAUCCUAAAGGAAAUCAGUCCUGAAUAUUCAUUGGAAGGACUGAUGCUGAAGCUGAAACUCCAAUACUUUUGGCCACCUCAUGUGAAGAACUGACUCAUUGGAAAAGACCCUGAUGCCGGGAGGGAUUGGGGACAGGAGGAGAAGAGGAUGACAGAGGAUGAGAUGGCUGGAUGGCAUCACUGACUCAAGGGACAUGAGUUUGACUAAACUCCGGAAUUUGGUGAUGGACAGGGAGACCUGGCAUGCUGCAGUCCAUGGGGUCACAAACAGUCGGAUAGGACUGAGUGACUGAACUGAACUGAACUGAACUGAUACCUACAGAAUAUUAACUUCUCAAAACAUCAGGUAGAAAUAACCACCCAUGUUGCUUCUCAGUGAAAAUAGCAGAAUUUUCUUGUCUGUAUUUACUAGUGUGUGCAUGCUCAGUUGCUCAGUCAUGUCCAACUGUCUGUGACUUCAUGGUCUGUAGUCUUCCAAGCUCCUCUGUCUGUGGCAUUUUCCAGGCAAGCAUACUGGAGUGAGUUGCCAUUUCCUCCUCCAGAGCAUCUUCCUGACCCAUGUAUCAAAGCUGCUUCUCCUGAUUCUCCUUCAUCGUUUUAAGACUUCAGUUGUUCAGACCUUUUGGUCUGGCCGGCGGCGGCGGGGAGGGGCCGGCAAGCACGCACGGCGGGGGCCGCGAGCCGCCCACCCGCCUUCCGCCAUCCAUCCGCGACGGAUCCGUCUUUCCAUCUGAGGCUGAACCCCGAGGCGCGACAUCCCGGGGACGACGCUCUCGAGCGAGGCGGCCCGGACCGUGACCGCACGCCGCCCCACCCCCCCUCCCCCCAGGGCUCACACCACGGGGGCCGGCCGCACGCACACGGCCCCCCACCUGCGCCCUGUGACGAUAAAAUAUUGGCCUCAAACUCCCUCAGUGCUUAUAUCCUCAGUGUUUCCCACUUUCCUGGUAUCAGCUUGUUAUUUUGUUUCUUGGUUGAAAUCUAAAAUUUAUUUUUGGUCACGGGAUUUUUUCUUUCUUUU